rnacentral:rRNA from 1 species
UACGUAGGGCGCAAGCGUUAUCCGGAAUUAUUGGGCGUAAAGAGCUCGUAGGCGGUUUGUCGCGUCUGCCGUGAAAGUCCGGGGCUCAACUCCGGAUCUGCGGUGGGUACGGGCAGACUAGAGUGAUGUAGGGGAGACUGGAAUUCCUGGUGUAGCGGUGAAAUGCGCAGAUAUCAGGAGGAACACCGAUGGCGAAGGCAGGUCUCUGGGCAUUAACUGACGCUGAGGAGCGAAAGCGG